UUGCCAAGAGCAUUCAGUGUUCUUCACACACAUGGCUCUGAAUAGUAGUAUAUCUUUAAUAUGGAAGGGAGAAGUGGAGUAGAUGUGAAGGGACAACAGCCUUGGAUCAGAUAUUUACAUUUUUGGUUUCUUCCAGGUUCACAAGUCCUUGUUACAUAUUACAGUUGAAGUGACCAUCCUUCAUCAACAGUUGGAGGGGUUCUUCCAUAAUGUGCCCCUGACUUUUACCAAUGCAAUUUCCAGAAGAGACCAAAAAGAAAAAGAAAAAAAGAAGAAGGAAAUAUGCUGAUCUUUGGCAAACAUUUUUCUAUUCCAUGGCAUAAAGCUUCUCUGUUCCUUUGGAAAGGAGAUAAGGUCAUAAAAAGAGCAAUAAAACUGUUCUUUUCUGCAAAAUGUGCAGUUCUAAUGCCCUCUUUUUAAUAUAGACCAGCAUGCUUUAAGAGGUUUAACACUUCAUCAGUUCAGCUGAUAUGAAGAGGCAGACAGGGAGUGAUGUCCCUGCUUCCAACAUAGUUUCAAACAUUCUGACCUGCCAUUUUCAAGUCAUGAAUGGUGGAAGAAACCACAUCAACUCUUGCCCACAAGUGCAUGCAUGUUGAAGACAGCAGACAUGAUGGAAAUGAGCUACCCAAUGUUUAGGAGGACUCGCAACUUGGAGAUGAUGAUGAUGAUGAUGAUGAUGAUGAUGAUGAUGAUGAUGAUGAUGAUGAUCAUCAUCAUCAUCAUCAUCAUCAUCAUCAUCAUGACCAUGAUGACUGGGCUAUCUAGAGUCUUGUAGCCCUUGAAAAUAAAAAAAAACAACAACAACAAUAACAACAAUGCAAUAUUUAUUUCUUCCCUUCCUCUCCCCAUUGAUUGAAUUGACUUCAAGGGCCCAGUGUUGGCCUCACUCACUUUCCAUCCCCUUUCUGCACAGCGAGGCUAUGAAACCUUUAAAUCAUACCUGAGUUUUCUCCAGCAGCACAUAAAACCUCUCAAGAGAAGGCUCCAGCCAUGGUCUUAUAAUGUUCUGGGACAAGCUAUAGGAAUGGGCAAAGUUUAAAUACAAGAGGUCAUAUUUAAAAGGAGACCUUCCUAUAUAAAUCAAAAUCCCUUUGAUUCAACAGAAUAUGUCAAGAAGAUUCUUACUGAAUAAAAAAAAUAAAAUAAUCCUGCAUGCUGUUUCAUACCUAUGACCAAAUGCCUAUGAAAAGCCCACAACUGAGGCAUGAAAUUAAUGGUUUUCUUCUGCUGUAGGUAUAAGCAGGUGGCAUUCUGUACCUCUGAACCUAGAAACUGUGUCUAUAAUGACAAGUAAAAACAAUUAAUGGCCUCAUCACCCAUGAAUUUCUCUGAUGUCCUUUUACAGCUACUAAUGCCAGGUGCCAUGGCUGU